rnacentral:rRNA from 1 species
UAACCUGCCUGGUAGCGGGGGAUAACUAUUGGAAACGAUAGCUAAUACCGCAUAACAGUGGAUAUCGCAUGAUAGCUGCUUAAAAGGUGCAAUUGCACCACUACCAGAUGGACCUGCGUUGUAUUAGCUAGUUGGUGAGGUAACGGCUCACCAAGGCAACGAUACAUAGCCGACCUGAGAGGGUGAUCGGCCACACUGGGACUGAGACACGGCCCAG